UUAAUUUUGCUUCUGUGUAGGUUUGUUUCAGGCUAUGACCAUUUUGGUUUAUUGGGUUGUUUUGGUUUUUUUAGUUGGAAUGGAGCUUUUAAUUGACAUUUUCUGGAUUUGAAUGGCUGACCUGCAACACCAUUUUUGACAUAGUUCUGCAUAUUUUAUACAGAUUUGACCAGUAUUCAAGGAUUCAAUUCCUUUAUAGGAGGUUUUAGUGGUCAUGCUUAUUUAUUUGAUGUUAUUUUAUCAUUCUGCUGUAGUACACUUUUUUGAUAAAAUGUUGAAAUUAUUAAUUUAAA